CCCUUUUCCUGCAACGUCGGGAAUUCGUUGGGAGAUGGGCAGUUGGCUCCUUCGUUUUCUGCCUUUCACUUCUGUUUCCUUGAAUCACAACUGCUGCUGAUCUCAUGGUCUGUGGUUUCAUUUUCUUUCAGUUCUAGGAAUUUGUAGACUUCAGUUGUGAUUUCCUAUUUAACUAAGUAAUUAUUCAGCAGCAUGUUUUUAAUAUUCCAGAAAUGCUGAAAUGUUUAUGUUUUUGGUACCAGACUGUAACAUCAUUUUACCUUCUGUUUUCAUUCUCUGGGUUGGUCACCACGCCUUUGAAACUUGUUGCAGGUUUGUGCAUGACUCAGACGUCCUACACAUGGUCACGUGUUGUAAACGCCUUGUUUGUCCUUGAGACCUGUGUGUAUCUCCAGGUGGUCAGUGGGGUGGGGUGGAUCUUUUAUGUACCUGCCAGUUUUUACCAGCUUGAGCUACCGAUCAUUGAGAGGUGAGCUGGAAUCUCUCACUGCAAUGGGGGCUUGUCAGUUCCCCUCUGCAGUUUUAGCAAUCUUUAAAUCGCAUAUUGGGAAGCUACUUUAUUAGCUGCAUACAUAUUUUAAAUUGCUGUAUCUUUUAGUAAGUUGAGCCUUUCUCAUUAGUGACCCUCUCCACCCUAAUCAGCCAUUUAUUUUAAAGUCUAUUUUGUCUGAUUCAGGAUAGCAACACCAACUUUCUUUGGUUAGAAUAUUCCUGAUAAAUCAUCUUCCACAUUCAUACUUUCAGUGGCACUCAUAAGCUUUAGGUGUGUCUCUUAAAGCAGAAAAUACCUAGAUUUUUAUGCAACCUGACAACCUCUGGCUUUUAACUGUCAUGGGCUGCUUUCUACCAGAUUAUUACCAGCAUGUCCCAUGGUUCCUAAGCUUUUUUGCUAAUUUGUUCUUUUUUUUUUGGCUCUUUUCAGUUUAUUGCACUAAAGGAAUUAAACUAGUCCAAGUUAAAAGCAGACCCCAAAUGGUUACAUUAUAUAGACUGUGAGGUUUUUAAACGUAUGACAAGGGACAGAAGGUAAAUUCUACUUAUUUGCAGUGAGGAAAUCCUCACUUGAGCUCCAGGGGGCCAAAAGCACGUAACACCCAUGAGCCUCCCACUGGCCGUCCUAGGCCGGUCCAGCCUCUGCCAGGAAUAUGGUCUUGUGCUGGUCACCCUGGGGCGGAAUUACCUCUCCAUAUCCUGGGUGCUCGAGUACAGCACUGUGGCAGGCAAAGUUCUCAGACACCUUCACUCGUUUCUUUUUAUCGUGAUCAUCCGGGAUCCCUUGGACAGUACAAGGAUCAUCCUCAUGUUUCUGUUGAAUUCUCACAUGGAUAUAAUCCUCAGCAGCAGCAGAAGCAGAUGACCCUUACCCACAUCAGCAGAGGGGCCAAGAGUGGCGUUCUGGAUAGCGGACAUGCCCUGCACCUCCUUUUCUCAGUGGAAACGGCCUGUGGAAGGAGGCAGCGGAAGGAGGCAGGCGGGGGGACAAGAGUCGGGAAGCCAGGGGCCUCACAGGGAGGCUUAGUGACCAGCCCUGUGCUUCCUUCUCUAAACAAUGUGAUGCAGGAUCUCCCUCGACAAGAGCUGGGGCGCACCGCCCCUCGGUCCUGCUGACACCUAACUCCGGGGACACGAAGUCUUAGACCUCAGCUCCUGCCGCUCCACGGUGUCUGCUGCAUCCCCAGGCCCCAUGGCCCCCCAGCUGUUACAGCCCUAGAAUCAUGGCUUCUCGUUCCCUUGAUACUUUGAAUCUCUCCCCCCGAGCAGCUGAGGACGACGGACGGCUCUUGUUCCUUUAUAUGUCGUUCUUCCGGGGAUGAUUUCACACUUCUCUUGUGUUUGGUUUCACGGUGAUGUGCGAGGCAGGGGAGGGUUUUCCUUGUGUCCUCUGCUUGGUGCCUGGGCCCUUUCAAGCUGAGCCUGUUGUCUUUUUUUUUUUUAAUUCCAAGAAGUGUAUCUCUGUCCUUCCCUCUAGUCCUUCCCUCUCAGUUUCCAGGUUCUCUUUGGGCCUCCUGCACCCAGAUGUCAGCAUGGGGGGCCUCCCAGCCCAGUUCUGUCCUUCUGGUCCCAGCCCUUGGGCAGAGACGCUGCCAUUCAUGCCCCCAUGGGGGAGUUCUUCACCUCAGCUCUUUCCCUGUCGUAUCUAGGAUGUUUUUGCUUGGUUCUUCUUUGCUGUUUUCUUGUUCUCAUUUUUCUAAUUUAGUCUAAUCUAAUGUAUCUGUUUUAGAAAUUUUAAACUUUUAAAAUUUAAGACUAAUUGUAAAUUCUUCUGGUGGAAUCCACAACUCAGCAUGUUGUUUUCCUUAUGAAAUGGCUGCAUUCCUCAAACUUCUGGCCAUGUUGUCUGAUCCACCUUGGGAUUUUACUGUCUUUAUAGCUUCAUUUCAGAAAGAAUCACAUUUUUAAUAUUAAUCCUUCCUAGCCAGGACCAAGAUCUGCUUUUCCAUUGAUCUGAAUGCUGUUUUCUCUUCUUCCGGAGGUUGUACAAGCGCUCCACGUUUCCUGCUAAGGGUGGGGGUGUCGUGUUGCUGUGUUAGCGUGGAGACCCGGUCCAGAGCAUCUCACGCCUCCAGUGUCUUCCAGGUCCGCGUCAGCCUGCGCGCACUGACCAGACCCAUCACCGGAGGCUGAUGUCCAGGCGCAGCCCCCACCCACACUCCCGCCUGCAGAGGCCACGCCGGCUGCCAGCGUGCUCAGCCUCCCGGGAGUGUGCGUGUGCACGGGCAGGGCGGGCAUGGGGGUGUGCGCCGGGAGGGCGCCCCGCAGGGCGGGGGUAUGCGCGAGGCAGGUGAUUGCAGGGACUCACUGGGAAGGCGCCGCAGCUUCUGGACCACCGGACCCAGUCUGAGGACGCCCACCCCGCCGCCCCGGGCACUGGGACAGGCUGGCCUCGAUGCGCCACUCGGUCGCAGGAGGGUCAGCCUGAGCGAUGGCGCCACGAAGCCCUGCAGGAGGAAGAAGCCCCACCCCCCGCGGCAGAACAAAGCGCGCAGCACGUGGGCGCCCCGCGCAUGCGCGCACGUGCACUUCCAGCGUGACCCGCACACCCAGUCCGGCGCCGCAGCCCGGGGCAGUCACGCCCUAAUGGCGUCAAGUCAUAUAAGGCUCUGCGACAGGUUCAGGUUUAAAAACUGGCAGGAGAACUUCUGUUUUUAACAUGAGCCGCUGCCUGGGGGGCCUGGAAGCGCUGUGUCAUAAAUACAGGCAGCUCUUGGUUUGGGGGCAGCACCUGGUGUGAACGACCCCCGCUCCCACCUGUGCACACCUGGGGCACCUGGUCCUGCUGUGGCUGUUGGCCCGGCAGGAUGGGAAGCUGGGAUGCCACGGACCCUCCAGCGCGUCUGCUCCUGCACCACGCGGGGCGAGCCGCCUCCCCACCCCAAAUCCCCACACGCCUUCCCCUUCCUCCUGCUUCUCACCUUGGCUGGAGGCUGGAGGUGGAGAGAGGCGUACCUGGCUUCCAGGAUGGGUGGGAGGCCGGAGCUCUUGCCUGUCACCCCCAGGACACGCAGCCCUGCAUGGCACAGCAUGAGAUGCCCAAAGGACGUGACCACAGCUUCUCAUUCGUCAGAUCUGACGGCCCCUGACCUCCUGGUUCCAUGUUUCCUUCAAGGGCCUCGCUUUCUCCUGUCCCACUGUGGGAAGUGGGAUUUGGGUGCCUGUUUCGUUUCUGGGGCCCAAUGGAGGGAGGGGAUGGACGAUGGUAAGGACCACACAGCAGGGACCUGCCAGCUGGGAGGAGAGGGGCCGUUCAAGGACAAGGGUCCUGCACAGCGUCCCAUGGGGCCCCUCCGAGGGCUAUCACCUGUAUCUCCUUCAUCCCCCUCUCCUCCCAAACCCACCACCCUCGUAUUUGGUGCAUAUUUCUAAAGGUAUCUGUUCACUGUCAGUUAGCAAACCAAUGCUUUUAUUUUUCAAAAAAAGAUACCAUUAUUGGUCAAUUUAGAGCCAUAGUAAAGUGAAAUAAAUGUGAAUUUUCUUCCUUAUAGUCAGAAACCCUGAGUUGGAGUUGAGUAGUUAAUAAAACUGGCAGACACUAAGCACACCUCAGCCCAGAGGGUCACCACCGCCCUCCGGGCUCUGGGCCGGCUGCUCUCGGGGUUCCUGCUGGGCGCCUGGGGGACGGGGGAGCAUUGGUGCUGAGGCCCAGACACGGGAGGGCUUUCUGCUGGCACACCGCGGGACAUGCUGACUCCUAGCCCCCGCGGUGGUGGUGCCAGCAGGGGGGCCUCUGGGAGGUGACAGCCACAAGCAUGCAGUCCUGGUGAUGGCCUUGGUGCGCAUGUGCCCGGAGUGCUUCCGCGCCUCCCACAGCACGCGGACAGUGAGAGGUGCGGCCACGAGCCAGGAGCUGCCUCAGCAGAGGGCGCCCAGCCGCCUUGGGUCUCGGGCUUCCUGCCUCCAGGACCAUGAGAAACCCACUUCUGUCAUUUAUUGGCCAUGCAGUCUGCGGCGCUUGGAAAAACAUCCCGAACAGACCAAGACACCCAAGGACAAAAAAGUCCAAUUUUUAAAAAUUCCAAAGGUACAUGGUUAUUGCAGAAAUUUGGCAAAUUCAAAGAAUAGUGAAUGAACACAAAAUACUCAAAAUCUCAGUAUCUAGACACAGCAUUUUCAUUCAUUCUUUAAGACACAAAACAGUGUGAAGCGCACGUCUCACGUCCUGGCGUUUUCCUGGACUUUCGCUGCCGGGGCAUUACGCUGUGACAUCCUUUUUGCGGCUUCUGUAGGGCUGGCCACGCUGCACAUGCAGGAGGGUGGUGUGGGGGUUCUGCCUGUGGGUCGCUGAGAAACCCGGUGGCAGAGGCUCCAACCACACAGGUAUGGAGGGGCUUUGGCAGAAAAGGGGGUGCUCGGGUACAAUCCUUCAUUGGGGUGGUUGUGAAAGGGCAGGGCCCAAGCAGAGAUGCGGGACUCUGCAGCCUCUUGCAAAAGCAUCAGGUUUCUCCCCUGCCUAACAUACAGGGGCUCAGAAUCAGUGGAGCAGAAAAACUGGUAAUGAAUGUCAGGUGUCCCCGACUCAAAUGUGGUGGUGCCUCCCACAGUGCCACUGACAGGAUGCCACGCUACAGCUCACUGGGAGAGUGGGGUGGACAAUAGCAGCCCACUUCUUAAGCAUGUGUGUGCUUAAGCCAGUGUGGGUGGGCCUUCUGCCACCUGUGCCAGGUGUUGCCUGUGGCUCCACCGUGGCCUGCCCCACACUGCCCCUCCGUUCUUCCAAACCGACAAGCAGCUGCUUGGCUUUGGCCUUUCCACUGGCGCCUGGGGCCUCCCUGGCUCCCUGUGUCCCGCGCUGAGGGACUGGCUUCUCCGCAUCCUCCUUCCUGUGUGGCCGCCUCCAGCCCCACACUGGGGCGUCAGACACCUAAAGAAAUGUCAGGAGGUGGAACCCCAGGGCAGCUACUGUGGAAAAGUCGAGCAUUCCCUCAAAAUAGCCAAUGUGGGGUCACCACAUGAUCCAGCAGCCCACUCCCAGCAACAGGCCCAGGGGACCACUCGCUGGCACCCGUGCAGCACCCGCACACAGGUGUUUACAGCAGCCUCUCCACUGUUCCUCCAGGAGGUGGGAAACCUAAACGUUCAUCAGCCGACAAAUGGAUAAAGACAACGUGGCCUCUGCACAAUGGGACAGUGCUUAGCCUUAAACAAGAGUGAAGCCCUGACAUGCCACAGCACAGACAGACCCGGAGAACAUGGGCUCCGCGAAAGACACUGGUCCCAAAGGCACACCUUGUGCAAGACUACUCAUGGGACACGUCCACAGAGACACAAGUGGGCACAUGGGUGCCAGGGCUGAGGGAGUGUCUGCUGGUGGGGAUGGGGGUUCCUUUUGGGGGGAUGGGAGGUGCUGGCCUUCCUUGUGCCUGGGUCUGAGUGGGGGGAGGGCAGGGGCACAAGCCCGCCUCUGUUGGGUGCUCUGUGCACACCGCCAGCUCAGGCCGGGGCCACAGCCCUGUACCUGUCCAGUGUCCCUGGGCUCCUGAUCCACCUUCAAGCCCACCAGGGAGAUGACUGGGUGGCACCGGGGAGGUUGGCCUGCCAUGGUGUGGUGGGGACCAUGCCCAUCCUCGCCCUGGGGCAGCUGGAGGCGAAGCAGAAGCCUGGGAGAGGCUGUGCUCAAAGCAGAGAAGUGCGGACUUAAACACAAGUGGAGUGUGAAGCGAUGAACCCAGAGCUGCCUGCCCAGUUCCAGCUCCUGCCCUGACCCUGCCUGGACACAAGGCCCAGGGCUCGGAGUGCAGGACGCAAAGUCACUGACUCUGAUCAUGGUCCCACAAACUAGGCGGCCUGUGCUGUAGAGACCCCAAGUCAGCAGAACAGCUCAUGCUGUGAGGAGAAGAUGUCAUAUGCCCAUCAGCAAGAUUGCCGCAGACCCCCGACCCACAGCGGGCAGAGGAAUGGCCUGGAGUGUCGGACAAACUGGAGACAAACUAGAGAAAAGACUGUUCUCACAUCCUUGGUAGAAGUCCCUGGGGAUGAACGACCACCCUACCUCUUGCCUGCCCUCACACAGAUAGCACCAGCCGGGCACAGUCUGACCUUCUAAGACAUGGACCAGACGCACCCUUGACACCCUGCUUCGAUGUCCUGAUUAAUGUCACCUCUUUCCUGAUGCAUCCCUGCUGUAAGAAAGUAUAUAAAGCUGUUCUCAGACAAUGGCUUUGGACCAGACCAGAGCUCCCUGGCUGUCAUCCGGGCCGUGGUCCUGAGCCAAACUCCCUGUGUCCUCAGCUGAGCUCUCUUGUCAUCUGGGUCGUGGUCUUCAGUAAGACUGAAUAGACUCUAUUCUAAUGCAGCAGCCUGUUGAUUUCAGCCAGCAGCAACUUUCUUAGAGGUUUUCCUCAUUAUAAACUGCUGGAGUCUGGCGAAGGUCUUCUAAGACCCGUCGGUCCUGUGUGCCCAGCACUGAUACCCAGCACUUUUAAAUGUGUUAAUUAUGUCUGUUGCUGAGAGAGUGGCAUUAACGUGGAUGUGGACUUCCAGCAUGUCUGGAACUGAGGAUGCCAGGGCCUUUUAGCCCUAAUGUCCUUGACUCAAACACCGAGGGUCCUGCUCUUCAAAGAGGAGCAGGGCUUGUGGCUUUAACCAAGGGCCACGUGUGGGGUGCCUGUCACAUGGCAUGUCACCUCCUCCUGACCUGGCUGUAGGCACAGUGGGUCACUUUCCCACAUUACUUGGCAUUUUCAAAAAGCUUGGACAUUAAGGGGUUGGUGUUUGAAGCCACACCAGAAUGGCCCUGGAGUCAAACCCUUCAUCGUGACAUAUGCGUUGUGUGCAGUGCUGAGGGCACCUGGGCACUGCCCUCUUCUAGGGCCUCUGUACAGGUGUCCAGGACAGAGAGUGCGAUUUUCAGGACAAGAUGUGCAGGGCACGGGCCAGGCACUGUCAGGCCCUGAACAGGUGCCCGGGAGGCUCUGCAGGUGAGGGUGGUCUUCAGCCUGCGAUGCAGGACCCUGGACUCCAGCACGGCACCACGGGCUUCUCUGGGCCUCAGGGGAACCCCCCAGGCAGGAGCCCAGACCAGGGGCUUGAUGUGCACUCAACUGUCCUGAGGCCGGAGACUCCUGGGGAGCGGCCAGGACUCUCAGCGCUGACCUCUCCCUGUCUCAGGUUGAAUGUGUCUGUAUGUGGACACGCAUGUAAUCUGGGCUUGGCACAGGGCAAGCUCCAGACAAAGGGACCGUGCCUGGAGCUUUGUUACAAAGAUCAGCCCCGGGGUCUGACUCAGAAUCUCCAGGCAGCCUCACUGGGAGCGUUGUGGGGUCAGUGCCGCAGCCAUGGCCUGUUUAUUGGGGGAACUCUUAGCUAUCACAGAAAGUAGUAAAAUAAGUGAAGGUGGGUGGGCUAGAAGCCCCCCAUGACAGCGCAGUGGCUGGGGCCUCACGUCAGUCCUGGCUGGGCAGCCUCAGCCCCCAGGGUGGAGCCCAGCACGGGGGCCCACGCCAGUCUCAGCUUUCCAUCUGCACGGGGAGGGUGGACAGGCCACCCCCUUGGCCAUUCUGGGUACUCCCCAGUGGCUCACCCGGCUGGGCAGAGGACAUAGGGCUGCAACAUGAGGACAUGACCAUCAUUUGGUUUCCUGUUCCUGUAGCAGGUCAAUUUCACUUUAGAGGUCAUGGAAGCACAGAUGAGCAGAAAAUGUGAAUGUCCCAUGUCGUCCCAUCCACAAAGGUGGCCUUUGCCAGCUCUGGUCUCAGUCCUCUGACCUGUGACCCCUGCCUUUGGGGCCAGGCCCUCCACACUCAAGGUCCCGAGGUCAUUAAUUGCCUCUUCCUGGUGGUUCCAGUUCACUACGCAUGGCCUUCCUGGGAUGGGCCCCAGAAACCAGGGCACCUGCUCCCAGGGGCCCCUUCACACACUGAGGCACCGCACAUCCACACUCCCAAGUGCGUGCUCAGGCCCACACCACACACACCACAGGCACUUACAAGUGCACGUGCUCGGUGGGUCUCUGGGCUGGGGACUGGUGAGUAGCUGGGGCUCCUCCGCAGGGACAUGACUGGGGCAGGGAGCACCAGAGUCCGUGCAGCCUGAAAUGACCACCAGGGAGAGCCACUGGCAAACAGUGAGCCUGAGCACCCGAGGAAAUGGGUGCUCCCCCCGCUGGGCUGCUCUGCAGUGUGUCCGGGAUCCCCAGGUCACGUGCGCCUGGAAACCCCCGGUUUCCAUGACCUCCAUGUCACUUCCCAAAGACACGUGGAUUGGAUUCAGGCCUGUGCUUCUGUGCCUGGUUUUCUCCGGUUGCACAUCUUUAAACAACAUGCAGGGACACGUGAGAUCCUUACACCCAAGGGUCUUUCACACCCAUGCCCCUUCCACUGUGCGUGGUUCUGCUCUUACUUCAACAUGAACAGGUUACACUGAAAUACAUACAUAAAGCUGCUUUUAGGUGGAAAAAUGUGUUUCUCAUGGAGCGUGGUUUCUCAUCACGUGACAGGUGAUGGGCCUGCCUCCCGAGGGCGGUCGCCCAGCGGCUGAGGACCAGGGUGGUGCAACAUCACUCCGAUCUGCCCAGAAUGUUUAGUCGUUGGCGUUUUCCCCUUAGCUUCAUUUAAUGUGUGUUCUUGUGGAGAUGCUGUUUUUGGGGGUGAUGGGGAAGGGGGGAAGUCGAUCGGAAGGGUCCCAGGUUCACACCUUCUAUGUAGGGUAUAUUUAAGCAAAGGUGUCUGUGGCUAGCAGACCCCGCGGGGUCCACGGAGCCUGCCUCCCCUUUCUCACGGGGCCAGAGGAGGGGGCAUCACCCUGAUCAGUACGGCUCAGGCACAUAGAAUCGGGACCCUCAAAUCCAUGCAACCCAGAAAAAUGAACCUUCAGUUGGCUCUGGAGGCCUGGUGGCGGGGAGCCCUUGUGACCUGUAUGACCUGAGGGAGCCCCGGGGAACCCCACCCCAGCCAGAGUUCCCGCAGGCUGCGACAGGGGGGACGUGGGCCUGGAAGCCAGGGCUGUGUGCACGCCCUUCCCUCUCCCACCCCGCGUGAUGGGGGGAGCCAGCAGGGAGUCGGGGAGUGCCGGAGCUGGAUGGGGGGCGCUGCCUCCCACUCAGGAAUCUUCCAGCAAGGAGCCUGCAGCCCCCACACAAAGGCACCCAGGCCUCCAGGUGUCUCUGGAGAAAGCUGCACAGGAAGCUGAGGGCUGUGGACCCAGUGGGGUGGGGAGUCCCUACAGGGCCACUGUGCAGGAGGACCUCCCUGACAUUCCCAGGGGACACUGGGCUGUGGCAGAGGUGACAGCCCCAGACAGCUCCCCACUCUUCCUGGCAGCGACUACUGGGCCUCCUGCCACCAGCAGGAGUGGGGAGGUGAGGCUGGCAAACGAGGCUGUGACUCCAAAGGGCAGCUUCUGCCCCUGACAUUGUUGGUGAAGAAAGCUGCCCCAGGGUGGUGGGGAUCUGCUUCUUGGGGUCCCACACCCCACUCCUAACUUGGGCCCCAGCUGCCUGGAAACCUGCCCUUAUGUGUGUUAGGCUACCUGCAGAUGUACGUGCACUACGGAGCACCGGGCCCUUUGUGUGGUCCCCAGCACCCUCUGCUCCUGUCCUGUUUGGGACCGUUGUCUGCACACCCCUGGGGCCUGGAGAAGUCAAGCUCUGGAUCCAGGGGAGACGCUGGGCCUCGACCAGGCUCUGGACCUGCCCACGGAGAUGGCAGCCCAGCUCACCCAGACCCCGGAGGGCGCUCCUCUGCUGGGGCUGCUCUUCCCACUGAAGCUAAUGUGCAGAGACCACAGUGCCCAAACAAACUCUCCACCAAAACUCCUGGAGCUCGGGAGAGAGGCUGGGAAGGGCAACAGGCCUCGGGAGGGUGUGCUUGGAGGUCGUACCUCCAAUCGCCAGUGACCAGAGGCAGAAAGGCUGACGGGGCCAUGAAGGUGGAGCAGAGGAGCUGGGUGUGAGGCUGGCCAGAGGAGGACAGAGGCAGCUGAAUGGUUCAGGUCCAUGGCCUCCAAAUGGGAAGAAGAAGAUAAAGGAAGACACACGCGCAUAAUACGGAAGUGGACUCCAAGACGCUUGCUGUACUUCAGACUUGGUGUGGUGUUCAGAGCUCCGUGUCCCUCAGAGGCACGUGCCUUUGCAGGAACGAGGACGUGGUGUUGGGACCCUUGUGUGUGACCUCCACGGGGGUGGAGAGACCGACGCGGAGGCUCUGUCAUCACUUUACUCGUGUUGAUGGCCCCUUGGAUUCUCAUCAGCAUCGGUUAUCAGAGAAUUGCUGGUUGUCCUUGUCCUCAUGCCUUUCUGAUCUUUCUGGAAAAUAACUAAUUUUGUGGAGCAAGUCAGUGAAGAAAAACAAAGUCAGUGGAUAGGCAGCUUUUCAGAGCACAUCAGCUCCCCACGGCCCCACGGGUGGCCAUGCCUCCUUGCCCCCACCGUGUGCCUGUUCCCUGGAGGCAGAGGUCUUCCCCUUACAUCCAUAAGCCACGACUCUCUGGAGAGUCUCUGCAGUGGGUCACACAGGGAAGUUAUAACGCUGCCCACCUCCUUUCCUGCCUGUGACCGGGAAUCCUAGCAAAAACGCGACGCAGCCCUGAGGAAGCUUCCUGGCUGACCUCUGCUUUGUAAGUUUGCUUUCACACUUUCUAUGGAUUAGGAGUUAGGCCUCACCCCGGCUGGCCCUGCCCAGGGUCCCCCACAGAUGCCACCAAGGUGCGGGCCAGGCUGCGCUCUCACUGGCAGAACUCAUUCCUGUGGUUGAAGGACUGACCACCAUGGCUUUACUGGGCGUGCCCGCGGUUCCCUGCCCCAGUCUGUCUCCUUCUCAAAGCCAGCAGGCACCACCCAGCCCAGGCCCAGCUGCCAGUCUGUGGAUGUUUGCCCGACGUCUAGGGGGACUUGCUGGUGCAGUAGGAGGCAUCUGUCAGAAGUUUAGAAAGAAUUGGAUUACCUGAUUAAUUUGUUUUUAUUUUAAACGUGAAAGAGCCAAAGAGAGGAAACGUGUUUAAAUCGUGAAUGACUGGCACGUGCCCAUCUGCGACCCAUGAAGAGCCUUACCCAGGACACAACGCGGAGGGAAUCGACUUGAAGCCACGGAAGGGCAGGACUCGUCGUGACCAGGUAGGUCACCCCGGGCCCAGUCACGGGCGGACAUGCCCCCGGCGGGGACGCUCCCGCGCCAGUUUCGGAAACCUGCAGCUUGGAAGGCCGAGAACGGCUUCCUCACCCUGAGAGGCGCAAGCACGGGGGCGCGAGGACGCUGGGGACACCGGGGACACGGGGGGGCGGGGAGAGGGACAGCCUCGCUCCCACCCCCGGAGCGGCUGCCCGGGCUCUCCUGGGGGGGGUGAGGGUGACUCAGCAGUUCUGCUUCUCGGCGCACUGAGGCUCAUGGGAGAUAUGCAGAUGAGCCCAGGGCACCAUGGGAAACAGGCCUUUAUAUUCCCAGGCGGGGGCCCUGUCCCCGCCUUUCUCUGGGCGCCCACAGGACUGAGGCGCCAGGCGGUGAGAGCCCCCUGGCCUGCGAAGAGAGGGCCGGGGACACCCGAG